GAAUAAAGUGUCCUCAUCACAAGUGCAACAAUUGUUGAGAAAUAUUUGAGGCUAUUAAGCCCCUGCAUCGAAUCUCUCUCUUCAAAUAGGCGGCGAAGGCACUGAAUAAACCGAGACCAAAAGGGAAUAAUUGCAACGACUAUGUAUAAGAUCUGGUAAACAUUGCUUUUUAGACAUUCAUUUGAUCUUGUUCUGAAGUUGCCCCACACAUAGUAGCAGACAUAGAAUUGCAAACUCCUAAUUGCUUGAACCUGGCUGGUAAGUUGAUCUGCCAAGAUGAAAUCUGGUAGAGUAACCUUAUAGAGGGGAGCGCAUAGACAGUGCCAGGCAGUUCUUAAAAGGAAGAAACGACUUGAACGAUAUAUGAUGUUCAAAGGACAAAAAAUUAUAAGAAGCAGAACAAUCACCAGGGCAAGUGGGAUCAGCUCAGUUAAUGUCUCAAAUUUUUGUGUUUUCGGAUCCAUAUCCAUAUCCAGGUGGGAGAGUGCAGCAGACAGUGCAAGUAGUGAAAGACCAGAAGCAAGGAGGAGAACUUGUCUGUAACCUAACGCUGUUCCCUGUUUGAAGCCAAAUAUGAAGGGAUAGUUGACCCGAAAACGCU
rnacentral:misc_RNA from 1 species